rnacentral:lncRNA from 1 species
UUAGGGUUUAGGUUCCCUUUAUAUAGUCUUCUUAAGGUGGGCCUUAGUCGGUUAGAGUAGGUUAAACUCUUCCAUAUACGGAAAUAUGGAAGGUUCUCCUUAUCAGAAGUUUUCUUUUUCCCGGGGGAAGGGGGCUGUCCCAGGAACCGGACCUGGAGUACUUCGUAGCGGGGAACCGGGGUAUCUCUUAGCGGGGACCUAGAGGCCGGUGUCCUACCUGGGGUCUGGAGGAAUUCAAUACCUGAGUAUUUUUCCCCAACAACAGCCUCAGACAGCGAUUGAUUACCACUACGGUGACACGAUCAGCAGACAUAGCGAUUAUUCAUUAGGCAGUGUGGAAGAUGAGAGCCUUCGCGAGAGCUUCGCAAUAGACACUGAGUUACCUGAGACGAGAUCUGAUGACUAUGACGAGGACUACAACAGAGAGAAGAACAUUAAGUACCAAGGCACAGCCAUGGAUGAUCGAGGACUUUUCCAUACAUCGUCCGCAGACUCGCCGUCAACAUCGAUCAACAGGAAGCAUACGCCAUCGAUCGACGUCGAAACACAAAAACAGAGAGGAGUAGAGGCAACACCCUUUGCCCUAACCUAUCGAUCAGGAAUCCGUCUCAGCCAUCAACCGCCAACGAUCAACAGCAGCAACAACCCAUCGAUUGUCAUCCGUCACAAACAUCUUUCCAAAUAAAAUUUGAAUAAUAAUACUGAUUUUGAUCUAAUUCCUGAUGAAUUUGGAUUCAGAGAUUCAGCAGGACAAACACAAGGAAUGGAUGGGAGCAUCCUCAAUGUCUCACAGGAAGAUUUUGCAGAACUUUUUGCAUGCAUGGAUCCAACCUCUUUUGCCAACCGAAGAAAGAAUCUGCUAAAUCGAUCGACAUGAGACCAUUGUCAUCGAUAAAUGGUUUGGUCACGCCAGCAAAAGACAGCUACGACAAAGCAAAGAUGGAUGAGUUAGCAGAAGAGAUCGACAGAGCUAUCAGACCUUCAGAUGCUUAUCAUUCCAAGAAGCUCGAUGACUUCUACUACCUGUUUGACAACAGUAUCAGCUGGUUAACCACAUGCACAGAGGAGAUGAAGCAAGACCUAGCCAUGCUUCAGAAACAACAUGGAGUCGGCGCAGGAAGAUCAACAUUGAUCGACGCUCACACUAAAAUAUUGAUCGACGCUAGCAUCAAAGCAUUGAUCGACGCUCGACUAGCACCAUUCGAAGAUAGGCUACAAUCAUUCAUCUAUCGGCUUGAUGGUGUUUUCUACCCACUACGUGAUAGUGUAUAUUUCCUAAACACACACCUGGACGCUUUGCAACAUGAGAUGGUUAUGAUUCAGAGACAACUCGAUUCUCAAGCAGAACCGUCACCAUCGAUCGACAGAAGGACUCGACCAUCGAUCGACGACGAUCACAUAACACGACGAAGCAAGCUGGUUACCGAGAAGUCACUACAUUAUAAGCUUGAUGAGAUCACUUUUUCUCAAGACUUGCUGAAAGAAGAUGUCUACCAGAAGCAGAAGGACAUCUCAGAAACAACAUAUGCCAGACUUGGAAUGCAACAGCGCAACAUUGGGAAUCUUCAGCAUAGGAUGCAUGCAAGUGAGGUUGCUAGAGAAAGAUUGAACAAUCAUUGGACCAGAGGAGAUGAGGCCAUAAGAAGCUUCAGUGGCACUUGGUUUCAGAUGAGAAAAGAUGAAGUGGACACUUGCAUACAACCAAGUGGUCACUUUGAUCAUUACUAGCCAAAAACAACCUCCAAAGUCAAGCUAAAUGACUAUAACAAGGUGUUGAGUGGGAGGCAACCCACUAUUAGGUAUUUCAUAUAGCUUUCUUUAUUACAUGUUAUUUAUUUUCGUUUUUAUCAUAUUGCAGGUCUAAAAAAAACCCAGAAAAAACAAAAAAAGAGAACCAAGGAGAGAUUCCUCGUCAUCGACAUCGAUCAACAACAUGACACUAGAACCGAUCGAUAGACACAUUUCUGAGUCGAUCGACAUUGACAUCAGUGAUCAGGUAUACCUUUCUCCUUGUUACAUUUAGUACUUAUGAAUUUUAUUCUCACCAAACUCCAACUAGAUAUACACUGGUGACAGUGUAAUUUAAUUCUGGAGGGAGGUCUACUAAUAUUAUCUACCUAUGAUUUUUUAAAAUGUUUUUAUAAAGUUUUAUUGAGUGAAGAAGGGGACAAUGAACUUCUACAAUUUUCCUUACUCAUCUAAUCACUCUUUAGCACCAUUCUUAGAUUUAUUGAUUGCAGAUAGUACUAUAGAUGCUAAAGGGGAUCAUCCUACCAGUUAUUCACACUUGCUGAGAAUGUUUGGAAGAACCAAAGCUGACCUCCAAUUUAAUUGAGCUUUAACUUGUUUUUCUUGGGGUUUGGUAUACAUUGGAUCGGAAACCUCCUGCAAGUCGGGAAGGUAUUAGACUUAGUGUCACUGUUUUUCCUUCCACCUCUCUUUGGCAUCCCUAUAUAUAUAAAAGAUUGAGAUGAUUUCCUGAGAUGAAGAUGGGUAGGUACAUUACCUAUAACCCCACUAUUCUAAUUCAAUUGAAUGAUCACACAUUGUUUGGAAGCGAGUGGUAGAUACAUUAUCGAUGACCCCACUAUUCGCCUACAACUUUACCAAAAAAAAGGAUUCACAGAAGAGAGAAGAUAGAGGGGGAAUCAGAAAAGGUCACCUUCAACUCCAGAUACUUGCUUGAGUUGAUUCCAUGUGUUCAGUGAUCGAUACUCACAAGGUAAAGCUUACACCUUUUAUUUAUAUGUAUUAAAUGAGGUCAGUAGAGGAGUUGGUCAGACAUGAUUAGUUAUGUUGCUAGAUGAAUGGAAUUGGUUGCUUAGCUAGGAUAUUGCAUAGAAAGUACUUCUAAGUUAAGAUUGAUUUGAUGUGGUUGCCAUAUUUUUGAGGUGAUAGUAAGUUCUUAAAUUAUGCGAGUAAGUUCUUAAAUUAUGCGAGUCUCUGCUGUUUUCAAACCACUUCCAGAGAGACUGCUUGUUGUUUUGCUUGAGGACAAGCAAAAGAGUAAGUCUAGGGGUGUGAUAUACCAUGGAUUUUUAUCCACUUUUAGCCAUGGUAUAUAAGUGUUUUCAAAUACAUUAUAGUUUUUUUGGAGUCUUUCUAAUAUGUUUUCAGGUUUUGAAGUGAUUUGGAGGAAAGUGGUGAUUUUGGUGCAUUUUGGAGAUAAAAUGAUAAAGACCCGAAGUUGACCAUCGACCACGACUAUCGAUCGAUGGGGGAAGGAAACAAUCGAUCGACGCACACUCUGUGGUAUCGAUCGACGGCGAAGCGCGUAGAAACCAGAUUGGGUUUCAGCCGACUUAAAGACCAAGUCCCACAAGAAUUACCAGAUUACCCAUGACGAGUUUUAACCUAAUAUGUAUGUGCUCUGCCAUUGUUCUAGGCAACACACACUUUCAUACUUUCUACUUUUCAUAUAGCAAAAUACUUAGAGUCUUAGGUUUGGAGAGAAGAUGCAAGAACUCCUUUGAGCUUUGUGAUUAGAACUCCAGUUUCUUUACUCUAUCUUAUUUAUGCAAUCUAUUUAUUUUAUUGUCAUGAACUACUUAGCCAUCUCUGAGUGGUUCAUCUUGUUAGAUUUAGGGUUCAGAUAAUCAUGAGGGAUUAUCCCAAAAUAUAGAAUUUAAUAAGUGUCAGGAUUUUGUUCCAAAAAAAAAAAAAUAAGUGUCAGGAUAUUAAUCAAGUAAACUGUUCUUAAUGCAUGUGUUCUAGAAUAGCUAACUAGAACCUUGUCAUAGAUAUUAGGGCGCAUUCGGAAGAUUGGGUUCUUUGUUUGAAAUAGUUUAGGUUGUGCUAGGAUUGCUAGAAACAAGCGGAAGAUGAUUUAGUUAACCUAGUGAGCACGUUCAAACCCGUUCGUAACGCUCCCUGGAAGGAACGUCGAUCGACAACUCUCUAGUUGUAUCGAUCGACGGGCUGAAAGGUGUAUCGAUCGACGGGCUGAAAGGUGUAUCGAUCGACACCCCGUUAUUGGAAUCGAUCGACACUUUCUCAGGACCAACAAGCGAUAGCUGAGGUCCUAGAUCGGGCGAUAGAUAGCCUAAAUAUACGGAAGUUGAUCGGCUAUUCUAAUUGUUUGAGUUCUAUAAUACACAUAUAUACUUAGUCGAUACACAUAUAAUCCUGAUUGACUGAAUAGAAACUCUAAGUCUAACGUCUCCCUCAUUAAUCUUAAAGCCCAAUCAAUCAAUUAAGCAAUUACUUGCUCACCACUGCUUAUUUACUUUUUUAAAACCAUUCAACCAAGCUUAACGGCAUAACUAGAUUAGAUCUAUAAUUGGGGUCAAAAACGGCUAUCUCGAAAUCAACGUCUAAUGUGGGAACCGAAAUUCGCACUGCCGAUUUUCGUUAAAAGUAGGAAAGUUAGGAAAACCCUAAUUUCCCAGAGCUCACAGAUAUCUGCUAAACCACACGCCACACAAUCAGAACACGAAAGUAAAGACGAAAAGAAAUAAGAAAUCGUAAAAAAGAGCAAAAGGUGUCUUAUUCCGAUUCGCGUAUGAGCGUUACAACAAGGUAGAAGCCUCGGCUAUGAGAGCUGUCAGCGAGAUUCCUAGUUCUAACAACUUAACGCUGCAAAACCUAGUUGAGUCGCAGCUCGAAAUAACAAAAUUAGAAAGUUGCCUAAAUGCUCUAAGUGCUAAGCUUUCUCUGAAAAAGUUCUCUUUUUUGUGCCUCUCGCCUAGGACUCCUUAUAUACUCCCUCCAAGGUCGGUUUGAGCUUUUCCCUUCCUGCCCUUAACCCGUCAUAACUCGAAAAUGGAGAAAUUCCAUUUUUCCCUGUCUUCAUGAUUAUAUCUGCGGAAUUUUGACAUUUAUCCUUUCUUGCGGACUAAUUAUAAACCGACAUAGCAUCUAUGGGUUUUCCUCAAAAAAUCAUAAGUGGGUUUCUAAUCGCGAUUUAGACCUAUUUGGGCCGUCUUUCGAUUCGAAACGUUUAUCACGAUUUUUAUCGAUAAGAAUGAACUUUCCGCGAUUUUUAUCGUAAAGUUUAAAUGAUAACUCCAAUCGAUGGGAAUGAGAAAUAAUAUGACUGCGAUACAUGGGAGCUAGCAUUGAGGAACAGACGAGAAUGCACGGAUUUGGGUCGUACCCGUUGAUCGAUGUCCGAGACAGUUCGGUCGCUACGUAGCGACUGGGUCCGCGAUGGAUCGGUCGCUACGUAGCGACCAAACGAAUGGCUUGGUCGGUCGCUACAUAGAGACCGACUCGAUUGCGGAUCGGUCGUUACGUAGCGACCGACCCGAUUGCGGAUCGGUCGCUACGUAGCGACCGACCGAGAGGCUUUGUAAUAAUCCUCUUUAAAGGGUAAAACACAGACAAGGAAAAAUCAUGUAACAGCCGAGAAAAUUACUCAAGUAAGUGGAAGUCGGAUUGAUCUUUUCCUGUGGAUGUUUGUGGAUCCCAAGGUACAUAAGAAAAAUUUAGAAAUUCUUAGAAUAGUUUUCCAUCUGAAGAAAUAAAUUCUUCGGGAAGUUUAGAGGAUUGAAAAUGCUCGCGGUUCGGCCUAGAACAUCCUAGUCGGACGAGAAAAUUAAUCAAAAAAAUUAUUGUAGGGCCUUAAGAUAGGAAUGACCUUAGAAUUAUUUUAAAAAUGUUUUGGUCUAAGAAAUUUAGGUUUUUGUCAAGGAGAAAAAUUUCCGCCAGCUCGGAUCAGCUUAUAACACGUACGGGAUUUGAAUACGGCCCAUUCGGGCCCAUCUAUGAUGUGUUAAGCAUAUCCGGAAGCUUCCGGAAGAUGCAGCUGCUUGCUUACCUCCUUCAGGCAGCUGGACAUGUGCUCCUCCUUGACUUGACCACCUCCAAGCAGUUCUUGUCGCAUUUCUAUUGGAUGCUUUGGUGGCUGGCUACAAAGUUUGGUUUUAUUGGCCAAAAUUGUUGCUAAGACACCAAGCUGUCUCCUAUUGGUUGGUUUGGGAGGCAGAGACACCUCCUGCUUGCCAUGCACCACCAAAACCCUCCCAAGAGCUCAUUCUCCAGCCUAUAUAUAGCAGACCACCCCCUUAGUUCAUUCUCCACUUUUAAGACCCGGCCAUAGGCACCCGAGAGAACCCGAUAACACCCGAACCUUAAGGUAACGUUUUAGUCUUUAGCUUUCAUUUUUUUAGUUAGCUUUCUGUUCUUUCUUUUCUUUCAUUUCCUUUCAUACCCUACCCAUCCUGUGUCUAGAUUUCCAAAGUUCUAGAGUUUUCCGAUAAAAGUUUAAAGUGAAGCCGACCGCGAGAUAGGAGCGUUUGCAGUCCGAAACUUUCAUCUAAGUGUUGAGGUGAGUCUCGGUUAUGGGUUAUGAUUGUUGUGUGUGCGACUAGCGCCUGCAAAACAAGAGUAUUGGUUGAUGCAUUGCUAGGUUGCGCGUUUAGAUAUAUACUGAUAUGAUAAUGAUUGAUGUUUGUGAAAGAUAUUGAGUUAUAUCGUCGGGACUCAGCUCGAGGGGUAUAACAUGAUUGUGAUACAUUGAUGUGUGUUGCAUAUACUUAUGUCAUUGCAUUUUAUUAUUUGGGCCUCGGCUCAGAUAAUAUAACAUGUUUGAUCAUAUCUUAACGGGGAAACCCGUAAAUCCACGGACUUGAUCCGUGAGGGUCCGACACUCGGGUGGAGUGUCGUGAGAGUCAUUAGUGUCCACUCGAGGCCCGUACCUUGUCCGGGGCCUUACUAAAAUUAGUCCCGGGCCUUACCAAAAUUAGUUCCGGGCAGGACGCGAAGACACGUGUGAUAGGGCUAGCUACCCUCGACUAUGUAGCUGCAUGACGAUGCGGCAAGUGUGUUAUCCGGGCCAUCAGCUUUUUAUACUUCGUGUUUAGAGUCAAUGGGCGCAAGAAGGGAUGUGUUAUGGAUUUCGUAUCGAGAUAGGAACCAAUGGCGAGAGGCAGUCCUCGACGAUCGAUAAUGAUCUAACCACUCGUGAAGAGUGGAUGCUUGUUUACGUGAUUGCUUUAUUUUUGCAUUGUAUAUUUCUUAAUAUAAUAGAUCUAUGUUGCUUAAUGUUUGAUGCAUAAUGGGGGGAUAAAUAAUUGUUAGGAAACCCGACUCACUGAGCAAAAUAGUUGCUCAUUAGACUCUUUGUUUUGCUGGUAACCCGUAGUAGUAGGUUCCAUUUGGGAUCGGAGGAGCACAAAGCUGUUGGUGUAGAUUUGCUACCUUUUGCAAACAUGUACGUUUUGUAAUAUGUAAGAUAUGGUUUUGAACAUCAAUAGUUGCUCAUUAGACUCUUUGUUUUGCUGGUAACCCGUAGUAGGUUCCAUUUGGGAUCGGAGGAGCACAAAGCUGUUGGUGUAGAUUUGCUACCUUUUACAUGUAUGUUUUGUAAUAUGUAAGAUAUGGUUUUGAACAUCGGCCGAGCAUGUAUAAAGUUUUGAUGUGGUUGAACUUAAAGUAUAUAUGAAUAAGAAAAGGUUUGUGAAAUGCUUGGAUUCCAUAUGACACUACUCCUAGUCCGGGACGAACUAACUAACAGUUUCAAACUCGGGUUGCAAAGCCUUAACUUGGAAUCGCUAGGAAACCCGUUGUUGGACAUAUGAUCUUGGGAUUCCGGAUCUGAUCCGGGAACCUCGAGUCAAAUGUUUGGGCACAUGGUAGUAGUAUCUUCGAUCUCGUUAGAGUUCUUUAGUUCGCCGUGCAUGUUCUUGUUUUAUUGGUGCAUGGCAAACUAAUUAACUUUUACUUAUUCUGGAUCGGGGGUGUUACAACUAAGGUGGUAUCAGAGCAUGGUUCACUUUGCUCACUUGGGAACCUGUUUUCAAUAAUUUAUCGAGUCAAAGGUGUCGCAAAAGGUAGAAUAGGAAACCAACGUGCUCCUUUGUUAGAUACGUUGGGAUUAGUACUUACCCUGGGUUGUACUGCAGUAUGUUUCAAAGACGUACAAGGAGUGACCAGCCAAUGAUGACACCACCAAGAUAUGGACAAUGUAAUUCUGAAAACCGCAGAGUCUAUUCAAACCUUGAGGUAACAGAUGAUUCUGCGAUAGUACAAGGAAAUAACCAUUACUAUGAACAAGAACAUGAGUCGACCGGGAGAAAUCCGACGGAUUCACAUAUGGGCUAUGAACAAGAAAAACGAUAUGAGGAUUUCAUGGAGAUGAAUCAAGCACCUGAUAUGUAUGGAUCAAGACGGAAUUAUGCAACAACACAUAAUCCAAGGCGGAAUGAAUCUGAGUUCAUGCACCGGGAAAGGACGCCCGAGCCACGUUGUAGACAAAAACAGAGGACAGCUGGGAGUUUGGAUCCUUUUAUAGUAUUGGUGCAAGGCUUGCUAGAUAGACUUGAUCAUAGAACCAGUGAAUCAUCAGAGCGAAGACCAUCCUCCUCUCCAGAUUACCUGAAGAUGGUUACGUUAAUGAAGAAGCUUGGAACCAUUAGAUACCCUGGAGGAACAGAUCCUUUCGAAGCGUCAGCAUGGCUGAGGAAUUUGGAGAAAAACUUUCGGGCCAUCCACUGCCCUGAUAAUUUCAAGAAGGAUGUGGCAAUAUACUACUUGACCAAAUAUGCUUCUGAUUGGUGGGAUAACGUGGAAGAAUACUAUAUGGUAAGAGAGAUCGACUGGGAAGAUUUUCAAAACGAGUUUGAGGGGAAAUACUUCCCACCUGAAGCAAAACACCGGCUGGAGAUUCAAUUCUUGGAGUUAACUCAAGGCAACCGGAAAGUCAGGGAAUAUGAUGCCGAGUUUACAAAGCUAAGGAAAUAUUCUCCUUAUGGACCAAGGAAUGAAGGUGCACUAAUUCGAAGGUUUAUAAGAGGAUUGCGAGCGGAAUUGGCUAGCCGACUGUAAGUAGUGAAGUUUCAUGGCCUUUAUGAAUUGGCAGAGAUAGCGGUAAAUGUUGAAGAAGGUAUGGAAAAGGAGCAAGCCAUGAUGAAGCAUGCAGAUCCAUCUCGCAAAACUGAAGGGCUAGGAAUACGAAGAAUGAAUAAUACAGAAUAAUUUAAUCGAAGGAAAGGCCGAGGAAGAAGGAAUGACGGACGGUUUAGGAAUGGCCCAGAUGUGUGUUACACUUGUGGUGGUACAAGCCAUUUUUCUAGCAGUUGUCCUUAUAGUCAGGGAAGGAAAGCCCCUGAUUAUAUUACUUGCUUCUCUUGUGGUGAGAAAGGGCAUUAUGCCAACAGUUACCCCCAUAAGAGACAGGUUACGCUUCCAGAACCACCCACUAGACUAGCAAUUGAACCAGCCCCGAGGCGCCAGGCAGUUGCAAAGCAAGUGAAUGCUUUAGAGUUAGGAAAUCCCGAACCACAACAGCCCCAUCUGGGCCUGAUCACAGGUAAGUAGGGUUUUAACUCAUUGCUUGUUUGUGUGAAUUUGACGCAUAAAAUAUAAAAUGUGAAAUAAAUAUUGUUUAGGAACAUUGUGUGUUGGUAGAGUUUAUGUGAAUGUUCUCUUCGACUCGGGUGCCACAUAGAGCUUUGUGAUACCUGAGGUAGUGUCGAGUUUUAAGGGAACCUUUACUAGAGUAAAAGUAGGUGUUUCGAUUAGAACCCCUGGGAACCAUAACCUUCAUGCCGAUAGUUGUGUACUUGGGAUUCCAAUCCAUGUGGGAUCAAUGGUAUAUCCGGCAGACCUUCUAGUUGUUCCUUUAGUACAACACGAAGUGAUUUUGGGAAUGGACUGGCUGUCGAGAUACUACGCGCAGUUGGAUUGUGGUCGAGGAAGGAUUACACUUGAAGAAAGAGGACAACCAUCAACGACAUACUAUGGGAUAUGUCCAAGUUCUGGAGUAUAGCUUGUAUCUGCUUUAAGAUUUAAGAAGGAUUUGAUCAAGGGCGAAGUAUAUUUGGUAACUCUGACUAUCCUUGGAGGAGACUUGAAAGAAGGGACGCAGUUGGAAGAGAUACCAAUAGUAAAAGAAUACCAGGAUGUAUUCAAGCCAUUGGAAAGAUUUCCCCCACCACGAAGUGAUCCUUUUACCAUUACAUUAGAUCCGGGAGCAGCCCCAACAGCGAAGGCACCUUAUCGAAUGGAUCCAACUGAGCUUGCUGAAUUAAAGAAGCAGUUGGAAGAUUUGAUAGAAAAAGAUAUUAGACCGAGUUCUUCCCCAUGGGGAGCACCAGUCUUAUUUGUGAAGAAGAAAGACGGCACCAUGCGGUUAUGCAUCGAUUAUUGAGGGAUUAACAAUGUUACAGUAAAGGACAAGUAUCCCUUUCCAAGGAUCGAUGAAUUGUUGGAUCAGCUUCAUGAGGCAAGCUGGUUCUCAAAGAUAGAUUUGGCAUCGGGAUACCAUCAGAUCCCUAUAUCAGAGUCCGAUAUCAUGUAGAUGGCUUUUAGGACCCGGUAUGGCCACUAUGAAUUUGUGGUAAUGCCUUUUGGUCUUACAAAUGCGCCGGAUGCUUACAUGCGCUUGAUGAAUGAUUUAUUUCGUGAUUACUUGGAUAAAUUUGUAAUCAUCUUCAUCGAUGAUAUACUUAUUUAUUCCAAAAGUAAAGAGGAACAUGCAGAGCACCUCCAAAAGGUGUUGGAGCGAUUAAGAAGCCAUAAGUUGUUCGCCAAGUUUAGUAAAUGUAGCUUCUAGAAAAGGGAGAUUGGAUUCCUUGGUCAUCGAGUUUCAGAGAAGGGUGUUGCGGUAGAUCCUGAAAAGGUUGAAGUGGUUAAGGAUUGGCCACGCCCUACCAGCGCUACCGAGGUUCGAAGCUUUCUAGGAUUGGCUGGAUAUUAUCGAAACUUUGUGAGGAAUUUUUCCAUCAUGGCCAAACCCUUGACGAGGCUGACUGGGAAAGAUAUAUCAUUUGAAUGGGAUAAGAAAGAGGAAAAGGCUUUUACACAAUUAAAGGAAGCUUUGACGACAGCACAUAUUCUUGCAUAACCUACUUCCGGAAGACCUUACACCAUAUACACUGAUGCUUCUCGAGUAGGACUGGGUUGUGUGCUGAUGCAGGAUGAAAAGGUCAUCGCCUAUGGUUCAAGACAGUAAAGGAAGCACGGGGAGAAUUACCCCACCCAUGAUCUAGUGAUGGCCACAGUGGUAUUUGCUUUAAAAAUAUGGAGAUCCUAUCUUUAUGGCGAGACGAUUCAAAUCUUUACUGAUCACAAGCGUCUCAAGUAUCUCUUUACUCAGUCAGAUUUGAAUUUGAGACAAAGGAGGUGGAUGGAGUUUAUCACGGAUUAUGACUUACAAAUCCAAUAUCACCCAGGAAAGGCAAAGGUGGUAGCAGAUGCACUGAGUCGGAGGAGAAGUGAUACAGCUAUUGAGAAAGACUUAGAAGCCUAAACGCAGAAUUCAAGAUGGUUAGUCUUUCAGCCAUAGAGGGCGAGGGCAGCGAGCCAUUGGGAUUACGAGCAGUGAAUCAAGCAAACCUCUUGCAAAGAAUUCGAGAAGAGCAGAAGGAAGAUGUGAAGCUAAAGAAGAUUAUAAAAGAUCUUGAAGAAUCAGGCGGAAUAAAUGAUAGUGGGUAUCAUUUGGCUGAUGAUAGAACCCUCCUACUGAACGGAAGGAUAACAGUACCUGUAGGAAAGGAGUUACGAGAAGAGAUAUUGAGAACCGUACACCACUCAGUAUUCAGUAUUCAUCCUGGAAGCACCAAUAUGUACCAGGAUAUACGUCGAUACUAUCACUGGCUAGGAAUCAAACGAUCAGUUUCUAAGUGGGUAGCUCAGUGCCAGACAUGCCAAAAAAUUAAAGCUGACCAUCAAGUGUCGGGAGGAUUAUUGCAAAGCCUACCAAUCCCAGAAUGGAAGUGGGAGUCAGUGGCUAUGGAUUUUCUAACGAGACUACCUUGAGCCCCAGAAAGAGGGAAUGAUACUAUAUGGGUGGUGGUAGACCGACUAACUAAGACUGCUCACUUUCUACCCAUUAGAGUUGUUGACAAGGUAGAAGUACUGGCAGAACUUUACUUAAAGGAGAUACUAAGAUUACACGCAGUUCCUGCCAACAUUGUAUCUGAUCGUGACCCAAGAUUUACGGCUUAAUUUUGGAGAGCUUUUCAGCAAGUAUUGGGGACUGAUCUUCAUAUGAGUACGGCGUUUCACCCUGAAACUGACGGGCAGACGAAGCGAACAAUCAGAACCUUGAAAGAUUUGCUAAGGAUGUGUGUUUUUGACUGGUCAGGUACAUGGGAACAAUAUUUACCUUUGGUAGAGUUUUCUUAUAAUAACAGUUACCAUGCAAGUAUUGGGAUGUCCCCAUAUGAGGCAUUAUAUGGACGACCUUGCCGCACACCACUAUGUUGGUCUGAAGUUGGAGAAAUACAUAAGUUAGGACCAGAUAUAGUAGAUGAGACAACAGAAAAGAUAAAGAUUGUCCGGGAGAAUAUGAAGAAAGCUCAAGACAGGCAGAAGAAGUAUGACGAUCAGAAUAGACGUGAAGUAAUAUUUCAAGUUGGUGAUUGGGUAUAUUUGAAGGUGGCCGCACAGAAAGGGAGAGAUAGAUUCGGAAAAGUAGGAAAGUUAGCCACUCGAUAUAUAGGACCAUACCGAGUGAUGCAACGGGUUGGAGAAGUAGCCUAUCAAUUAGAGUUACCAUCAGAUAUGGCUCUUCACCCACUUUUCCAUGUCUCGAUGUUAAGAAGGCAUAUACGAGAUCCUACCAAAGUAGAGCCGCAACGAGUUGAAAACCUUCGCUCCAACCUCACUUACCCUGAAGGACCACUUCGAAUCGGAGAAAGACGAAUAAGGAAACUGAAGAAUCGAGAGAUUCCUCAAGUACAAGUAUUUUGGGGAAAACAGCGCCGAGUAAUUGUGACAUGGGAAGAUGAAGAAAGGUUUAGAGCGACUCAUCCUGAACUGUUUUUAGAAGAUGAUGAAGACCAGAUGGGUGGAACAUCAAACCACUAAGAAUUCGGGAUGAAUUCUAUUGAGAGGGGGAGAAUGUAAUAACCCUCUAUAAAGAGUAAAACGCAGACAAGGAAAAAUCAUGUAAUAGACGAGAAAAUUACUCAAGUAAGUGGAAGUCGGGUUGAUCUUUUCCUGUGGAUGUUUGUGGAUCCCAAGGUACAUAAGAAAAAUUUAGAAAGUCUUAGAAUAGUUUUCCAUUUGAAGAAAUAAAUUCUUCGGGAAGUUUAGUGGAUUGAAAAUGCUCGCGGUUCGGCCUAGAAUGUCCUAGUCGAACGAGAAAAUUAAUCGAAAAAUUUAUUAUAGGGCCUUAAGAUAGGAAUGACCUUAGAAUUAUUUUAAAAAUGUUUUGGUCUAAGAAAUCUAGGUUUUUGUCAAGGGGAAAAAUUUCCGCCAGCUCGGAUCAGCUUAUAACACGUACAUGAUUUGAAUACGGCCCAUUCGGGGCCAUCUACGAUGUGUUAAGAAUAUCUGGAAGCUUCCGGAUGAUGCAGCUGCUUGCUUACCUCCUUCAGGCAGCUGGACAUGUGCUUCUCCUUGACUGGACCACCUCCAAGCAGUUCUUGUCGCAUUUCUAUUGGAUGCUUUGGUGGCUGGCCACAAAGCUUGGUUUUAUUGGCCAAAAUUGUGGCUAAGACACCAAGCUGUCUCCUAUUGGUUGGUUUGGGAGGCAGAGACACCUCCUGCUUGCCAUGCACGACCAAAACCCUUCCAUGAGCUCAUUCUCCAGCCUAUAGAUAGCAGACCACCCCCUUAGUUCAUUCACCACUUUUAAAACCCGACCAUAGGCACCCGAGAGAACCCGAUAACACCCGAACCUUAAGGUAACUUUUUAGUCUUUAGCUUUCAUUUUUUUUAGUUAGCUUUCUGUUCUUUCUUUGCUUUCUUUUCCUUUCAUACCUUACCCUUCCUGUGUCUAGAUUUCCAAAGUUCUACAGUUUUGCGAUAAAAUUUUAAAGUGAAGCCGACCGCGAGAUAGGAGCGUUUGCAGUCAGAAACUUUCAUCUAAGUGUUGAGGUGAGUCUCGGUUAAGGGUUAUGAUUGUUGUGUGUGCGACUAGCUCCUGCAAAACAAGAGUAUUGGUUGAUGCAUUGCUAGGUUGUGCGUUUAGAUAUAUAAUGAUAUGAUAAUGAUUGAUGUUUGUGAAAGAUUUUGAGUUAUAUCGUCGGGCCUCGGCUCGAGGGGUAUAACAUGAUUGUGAUACAUUGAUGUGUGUUGCAUAUACUUAUGUCAUUGUAUUCUAUUAUUUGGGCCUCGGCUCGGAUAAUAUAACAUGUUUGAUCAUAUCUUAACAGGGAAACCCGUAAAUCCACGGACUUGAUCCGUGAGGUUCCGACACUCGGGUGGAGUGUCGUGAGAGUCAUUGGUGUCCACUCGAGGCCUGUGUCUUGUCCGGGACCUUACCAAAAUUAGUCCCGGGCAGGACGUGAAGACACAUGUGAUAGGAAUAGCUACCCUCGACCGUGUAGCUGCAUGACGAUGCGACAACUGUGUUAUCCGGGCCAUCGGCUUUUUAGACUUUGUGUUUAGAGUCAAUGGGCGCAAGAAGGGAUGUGUUAUGGAAUUCGUAUCGAGAUAGGAACCAAUGGCGAGAGGCAGUCCUCGAUGAUCGAUGAUGAUCUAACCACUCGUGAAGAGUGGAUGCUUGUUUACGUGAUUGCUUUAUUUUUGCAUUGUAUAUUUGCUUUAUUUUUGCAUUGUAUAUUUCUUAAUAUAAUUGAUCUAUGUUGCUUAAUGUUUGAUGCAUAAUGGGGGGAUAAAUAAUUGUUAGGAAACCCGACUCACUGACCAAAAUAGUUGCUCAUUAGACUCUUUGUUUUGUAGGUAACCCGUAGUAGGUUCCAUUUGGGAUCGGGGGAGCACAAAGCUGUUGGUGUAGAUUUGCUACCUUUUACAUGUACGUUUUGUAAUAUGUAAGAUACGGUUUUGAACAUCGGCCGAGCAUGUAUAAAGUUUUGAUGUGGUUGAACUUAAAGUAUAUAUGAAUAAGAAAAGGUUUGUGAAAUGCUUGGAUUCCAUAUGACACUACUCCUAGUCCGGGACGAACUAACUAACAGUUUCAAACUCGGGUUGCAAAGCCUUAACUUGGAAUCGCUAGGAAACCCGUUCUUGGACAUAUGAUCUUGGGAUUCCGGAUUUGAUCGGGAACCUCGGGUCAAAUGUUUGGGCACGUGGUAGUAGUAUCUUCUAUCUGGUUAGAGUUCUUUAGUUCGUCGUGCAUGUUCUUGUUUGAUUGGUGCAUGGCAAACUAAUUAACUUUUACUUAUUCUGGAUCGGGGGUGUUACAGGCUUGGUCGGUCGCUACGUUGCGACCGACUUGUUGCGGAUCGGUCGCUACGUAGCGACCGACUUGUUGCGGAUCGGUCGUUACGUAGUGACCGACUCGUUGCGGAUCGGUCGCUACGUUGCGUACGACCGAGAGGCUUGGUCGGUCGCUACGUAGCGACCGGCUUGUUCGCGGGUCGGUCGUUACGUGGCGACCUUGUUUGCAUCUUUUUCCGACGUUUCAUGAACGUGUUAUUUAGUUUCGAUGAAUGAACCAAGAUUAACGCAAUAUUUCACCGCAAGACUUUUCGUAAAAGUAAUCUUUACGAAGAAUACUUUUCGUAAAAAUGUUCAUGUUAAUUUUUACGGAUAUUUGGAUGUUUACUUCGUCGUGUCCGUUUUUGACCCCAACAGUUAGCCCCCAGCCCGUUAGAAUCGUGGAUUACGACGAGAUUCUAGCGUGCAGUUUGGCGAGUUUGGCAAGAUAGGCGUGUUGGACGAAGUUUACAUCCGAAUAUUCGUAGACAAAUAGUAACUUUUCAUGCCUAUAAGAAGGAGGGUAACUUCUCCCAAAAAUUUUCACUUACUUAUUUUCAUAAGAAGUUCCUUGAGAGAAAAUUCCCUUUCCCUCAUCUUCUUUUUUUUUUUUUUUUUUAAGUUUAAAAGAUGUCUAGCAGAAAAAAGGCUUCGAAAAAAGGUACCUCCCGCAGUUCUUCGUCCGAAGAGGUUCAUGACAAAAUCCUCGUCCCGAAACUNNNNNNNNNNNNNNNNNNNNNNNNNNNNNNNNNNNNNNNNNNNNNNNNNNNNNNNNNNNNNNNNNNNNNNNNNNNNNNNNNNNNNNNNNNNNNNNNNNNNAGACCUUGCAAUGAUCAGACCUCGUGGGUCUCGUAUGACUGAAUCUCCUCUGGGGACCCUGGGGUCGGCUGGAGAAUUUUAAUAAUCUUGGGACUCGGGGGUCACUUCUUAGGGAACCCGUGGGUUCUGGACCCUGAGGUCUUGAGUUGGACACAUGGUCUUUGGACCCUGAAGUCUUUUUUAGGGAACCAAGAACCAAUAGGUUCUUGGCCCUGAGGCAUGUCUGAGCCCAGAGUUCUUUCUCAGAACCCGGAAUUGAGGUUUUAAAGGGACCGCAUUCUGCCAUCCUAGGUGAGGCCAAUCUCGGUACCUGUUGGGGUAUCGCAUUCUACCACUCGGAAGCUGGUCACUAUCGAGUUCCAGUGCUGCAUGCUGCUUUCUGCAGAAAGCCACUAUCAGGCUUAGAGGGUGCUGGUGUGGGUGAAAACCCAAGUGCCAGGCUUUGCUGCUUUCCACGUCUGGAGAAGCAGGAUAUUAUAAGGUGCUCCCGGACUUUUGCACUUGCUCAAGGGCAAUUAUACCUCGUGUCCCCUGUAUUAUUCUAGCACAUAGCGUUUUAAUAAAGGUACUUUCACAUUUUUGGUAUUUUUGUUUGGGACCCCGAUAUGCCUGAGGCUAUACAGGGGUUUUAGGUAGUAUUAACGGCAUACUCAGGCUUGCGCAGACCCAUUCCUACCUUAUGUCUCAUACCCGUUUUAUUUUUGCGUGGUUAUACCACUUGUCAUUAAGGGUUGGCCAGGAUCGAAGGUCUCUUGGACCUGAUCCAGCUCGUUUGCCCCUUUAAGUAUUAUGGCAUUCCUACUAAACUUUUAUAGUCAGAACUAUUUUAUUAUAUAAACUUUGUCCGGAGACGUUUCAGCGCACAUAGGAGUAGGAAAACAUAAUGCUUAAAUAAUAGAUAAAAUAAUUAAUAGAAAUCGUGGUCCGAAGACUGUACAAGAUAUCAGCUUGUGAGGUACCCCGGUGGUUAGGCCAUGUUUUACCUCUUGUUGCUAGGUGAUCCGCAGGGUUUGGCUUGCUUUUGGGACGAGCGUCCUUGCUAGAGGGUUCCUCCUUCUUUUGCAGGGUUCUGCCUUUUUCUUGGGUCUAGGGACCGCGGUCAAGACUCGUUUCAUGCCCCGGCCCUUAGUGUUCGGGACCACUGUCUCCUAUUGAUGAAGGUUUUCAGCACUUCCAUGAAAUGUGUAGUCACAUUCAUCCACUGGAGCGACCAGGAUCGGAGGUCUCCUGCCUGGCUAAGUGACUCCAUCCUGCGUGUGCGAGGCGCCCUUUGCUCCAGAUCUGCCCGAUGUACCCUCUGAGGAAGUCUCCUUGGAGUACUUGUGCCCCACUUGUUUAUCCGCGAGACCACUGGCUGAUAUCUGCGAGGACCAGGUCUUGCGAGCAGAUGCAACUUCGAAGGGCUUCGGAGGAGACCAUGCAGAGCGGUCGAAAUAGGUUCUCUGGGGAUCCCUCGGGUUCUUGGAAUGAUUCAGGGUCCGCUUUCUCCGGAACAACCCCCAAUUACCUGUGUCAUUGACCUCUGAUCCCUGGGUUCGCGGGUCCGAGGUCUUCUCUGUAAUUUCUAUAAGACCUUGGUCUUCCCCUUCAGGGUGGUCUGGUAGCAGGAUUGGGAGUUCUCCUGGUCUCCCCUAAUUAUUCUGAUGCCCCUGGGUGUAGGGAACUUCACCAUCUGAUGAAGGGUUGAAGGGACUGCUGCCAUGUCAUGAAUCCAGAGUCGUCCCAAGAUCAUGUUAUAUGUCGAUUGGCAAUCUACGACUAGGAAUUUGGUAGACAUGUUGACCCCUUCAGCGUAUACUGGGAGGAUAACCUCUCCGGCGGUUUGCUUGACCUCGCCGCUGAACCCGAUGAGUGGGGUUACCUUGCGCGUCAGGGGGCUCCCCUCCAGCCCUAGAUCUUGGUACGCCGUCUGGAAGAUAAUGUUGCUGGAGCUGUCGUUGUCUACUAGUAUUCUUUUCACCAAGCAGUUUGCUACGGUGAGAGAGAUAACUAGAGCAUCAUGGUGGGGAGUUAGGAUCUUCUCUUGCUCCUUAGCUGUGAAGCUUAUCUCGUCAGUUCCUAGAAGUAGGCGCUUCGGUUGGGUCGUUUUCAGAUCAUGCUUAGCGUUACAGGUGCUUUUCUUCGCGGCUGCGUGGCUUACUCCGCUUACUUCUGAGCCUCCGGAUAUGACAUGGAUCACCCGAUCUUGGCGAGGUGGUGAGGCCGGUGCAGCUCCUUUGGAUUUCCCUGUUGUCUCUUUGCUGAGGUGGGCAUUGGCUUUCUCUGAGAGGAAUUCUCGGAGAUGCCCCUUUUGGAGUAGUUCGUUGACCUCGAUCCUCAGGGCGAUGCAGUCUUCAGUUUUGUGGCCAUGAUCGCGAUGGAAGUCGCACCAAAGUUCCGGGUUCCGGAACGAGUCAGGUGCUUUCAUCUUUGGAGGCCACUUAACCUGUUGGCCCAUCUGUCCCAGUGCGUUGACUAGCUCUGGUGUUGAUAUUGAGAGAUGGGAUAUAUCGGACCAGGUAGAUACCGACAUCCCUUCUUCCUUCUCUUGCGGCCGGUACUGGAACUUGCCCAUGUUUCUACUACCAGAGUCCUUAGAUCCCCUUUGGGAGGAUCUUUUAUCUCGGUCUCCUCGAUCUGAUCGGGCUGACCUUUGGUCCUGCUUUGGCUGAGCCUUGGCGCGGCUAGCAACAUCUUCCUCCCACUUCACCUGUGCCCAGGCUCGGGAUAACACAUCUUCCAUGGUCUUGCAAGGAUACAUGGUCAGCUCUUUGUAUAGCCCCCCAUCUGGAAGUAGACCUCUCUUGAAGGCAGAGAUCGCAGUAGGGAUGCUGCAUUCGGGGACCGCUACUUUCUCCUGGUUGAAGCGGGCUAUGUAGUCUCGCAGGGGUUCCACUCGAUGCUGGAGGAUCUCGUAGAGACCAUCUGAAGUCUUCUCCAGGCUCCUAUUGGUUGCGAAUUGCUCCACGAAUUUGUCGCUCAGGCCUGCGAAGGAAGAUAUGGACCUGGUAGGGAGAUUGAUGUACCAUUGCAAGGCAGGUCCGAUCAGAGUGGAACCAAACCCUUUUCACAUCGUGGCUUCGCGGGACUCCUUAGGGAGUGCAACCGCCAACAUCCUUUGCUUGUACUGCGCGAUGUGAUCGUCGGGGUCGCCAGUACCGUCAUACAUCUUGAUGUUGGGGAAGGAGAACUUUCUAGGCUUCUCAACCGAGGCAAUCUCUUCCGCAAAAGGGGUAUCCGUGUAGGAAUCAGGGUUGCUCCUUCGGAUUGGGGGAGCUACUCCUAGUAGGCGUUCUACCAUGAAUUGCAUGGCAUCAAAUCUCCUAGAGAACAUAUGCUCUAGGUAGGCAGUUAUGGAGGAUUCGGUUGCUGCUUUCUCGGGUUCUUCCUUUCUGGGUUUUGGCUCGGAAUCACUCUCCUCCAGAUCAUGGAUUUGAGGAUUCUCGGUCCCUUCCCGUGUUGCCCCAGCUACCCCAGAUGCAGGAGGUGUGUCGGUGGUACCUUCUCCGGUGCUGGGCGUGUUCAGAUUUCCCAUAGGUCGAACCCGGGUGUUGAAGCGACGCUUCUUGUUACCUGCCACGUUGAGGGUUUGAUUCUGGUCCCGGAGGGCAGUGUUCUCUGACUGUAGCUGGCUGAGCUUCUCGACGCUUAGCUCCAACUGCUUGGAGUGUUCGUCAAGUUUUUCCUUCAGGCUCUGGACUUCUGAAGAGAGGUUGGAAUUUUCACCGGUAGUUCCUUGAGUUCGGUGUAUGUCGGUGGUUUGGCCUUGCAGGCUGUCUAUUUGCUUUUGAAGCUCAGCUGUUGUUUGAGAAGCUUCAGGUGAUUCGCCGUCUUGCUCACCCACCGUCAUCGUCACGUAGUUAGAUUACUCCCGUUCUUCUAGCGCCAAAAUGUUAGGGGAUUUUUGUGUAGGCUCUUUGUGAGUACUACGGAACGAUGGACAAGCUGGUAAACCCUAUGAGUUUAUAUGUAUUUCGUAAGGAUUUGAGAGAAUAAUAAGAAUAUGGGCUUGAAGAGACGUAUUAUUGAUCAGACAACCAAGAACAAGAGAGGUUACAAUGAUCUUUGAAUAAACCCUAGUUCUAAUCGUCUAAUUCUAGUUUCUAAGCCUUGGAGAAGUCGAUCCCUUGCUUUAAGGUUUUAGUAGCUCUUAUAUAGUCGUCUAGGAGUCGGUUUCAUUAGGUUAAACUCUUCCAUAUUCGGAAAUAUGGAAGGUUUUCCUUGUCGGAAGUUUUCCAUUUCUUGGAAGGGAGCUCGGUUCCAGGGACCGAGCUCGGGGUUCCUUCUAGCAGGGACCCGGAGCGUUUCCUUAUCGGGGACCUGAGGGUCUGGGUCGUGCCUGGAGGCUAGAGGAAAUGAUACCGGGGUAUUUUUCCCCAACACCUAGAGGAGAGUCGAUUUCCCCAAGAUGACAUGGAUCGAAUGGAUAUUCCCAGGCUUGUGGCUUGUUUAGGUCGAUUGACGUAGGAAGAUUCAGGAUCCUGGCCUUGCAUGUCGAUGCAUGGCAAGACUCGUAGGUUUGGCUGGUGAAGAUCACUUGUAUAUGUUGAAAUCUGCUGUAGGUGAUCCGUUGCCCCGCUCGGAAGUAGGAAUUCUUGAUCUCGGAUUCACAUUGUAGUGAUAAGCGAGAUCUUCCUGGCGCAUGACCUCGGUGGCACACAUCCACAUAUUUCCUGGAUUCGAAUGGCACAUGACCGGGGCAAGAAAACGAAUUAUUGAUUUACAUCUUGCUUAUGUGCCCCUAUGAUUGGAUAUCGGCUGGAGAAUGAUCUUCUGAAGAACAUACGCCCUGACUCUAGAAUGGAGAAGUUCUGUAUUAGGUAGUAGUCGAGUGAAGACCGCGAUUUUUCUCAUUCCUUCUUCGGGAGGAACGAGACCCUUUGUUGAGGCGUGGAGGCCGAUUCUUUGUCGUACUACCCUGAGGUAUCGACGUACAUCGUGUAGGAACUCGUAGUCCCUGGUGAUUCUGCUCUGGAAUCUAAGGCUCUUAAGGGCUUCAUGUUCUGAUCAUGUUGGACCUGUAGAUUUAUCCAUGGGAACCUAGAGGUUUCGAGGAAUUAUGCUCUGACACGGAAGGAUCUAUAGAUAUUGCACCCGGAGGUGAAUAUUUGUUUUGGAGUCACGAACCCAGAGUCUUUAUUGAAUACAACAUUGCACUCUGUCCUCCGGAGAUGGACCACUCUCGAUGUCGAUUGAAUGUGGGCUGUUUGUUGAGAUCGCGCCCAUUGCUUUUGUGGUAAUAGAAAUUUUGUGGGACGCGUGGUCCUGAAGAUUAUCGGGAAUAUCGUCCUGAAGCCCAGAGUUUCUUAGAUGUAACCUCCUGAAAUAUGGAGGUCGUGGGAUUCACCCUCUUGGAGCCCGGAAGUCCUGGCAUAUAUCCUACUAAACCCGGAGGCGGUAUCCUCUUCAAAUCCGGCGGUUACAGGGGAAGCAACAAUACUUAUUCGUCCUUAAGCUUUGAUAGCAGGGGCUGACACAAUCUUAUAUGGCCCGAGUUGAAAUUGACCCGAAGGCAGGAAUGGACCGGUUCUGGAGCCGGACCCGUUGUUUGGAUAGCAGGUGUUGACCUGGCUAAGAAUGCUUCUUCGCGUGGAUUAGCGUCUUCUACUGCAUACUAGGACGUAGUUAAUCCAUUUUUGCUGUUGAUCUUCCAUACAUAUUGCUUUACUCCUAUUCCUUGGAUCUCAUCCUUUUUUAGAUGUCGUUUAGUGACUUCUUCUGGCUGCUCUCUGCUCCCACUUGGGUGAGCCACUCUCAGCGUUUUAUGAUGUUAUUUAAUGAUGCGUCCAAGCUGUUAUCUGCCCCCGCUUGGGUGAGCCACUCCAAACGUUUUCUGAACGUCACUCGAUGACAUGUUUUGACUAGUUACUAUUGUUUAUUUCUAUCUCUUAAGUAUGCACCAAUGAUGAUUAUUGCUAUGCGUGGGUAAAAUACUUGUUUCUUAAAAAUAUUGUAUUAGUGACUUAAGUAUCAUUAUUGUUAUAUGCAUCAAUAAUGUUUUUUUGCUAUGAGUGAGUAGAAUGGUUAAAAUGAUUCUUAAUAUGUUGUAUCAAUGACUUAAGUAUUGUUAUAUGCAUCAGUGAUGUUUUUUGCUAUGAGUGGAUUAUUGUGGAAUACGAACAUAUUUACCAAAUUUUUUAUUAAUAUCUCUUAAAAUUUACAAAAAAAAAAAAAUCACAACUAAAGGAGUACACAUGCAAAUAAAAAAACAGACCAGAAACAAAACUAUUAUUGAUCCUUCCUCUACAAAGACAAGCUUGGACUCCACUUGAUAUGUAAGAAGACUCCGUCAGGAAGUCUUCUAGCACAUUAUAUUUUAGAAGACCUUGGAAGACUUAUGGGAAGUCUUCUCAGAAGUCUUUUAAAAUAUAAUGCGCUAGAAGUCUUCCAGGAAGUCUUCCAGCGCAUUAUAUUAUAGAAGACUUCCCAUAAAUCUUCCAAAGUCUGCUCCAGAUCUGAAAAUCCUGCAUAUCAAAAAAUGUUCAAAUGGCUUAAAAACAGAGAAAACGAGUGGAAGAUUAUAUAGAUAUUCUUGUAUAGAACACACAAAGUACAUAUCCAAGUGGAAUAUGAGAACCAUCUGGUUAAAAACUUGCAACAAAAAGAUAGAUUAGUGAGAAAGACAUGAGAUAAAAAAAGAAAAAUUCAUAUAAAGUUUGGUGUUUUCAAGUCAAAGAGAUUAGAAUGGAUUUGGAGAAUUUUAGUUUGAGAAAAAGGUAAGAACUUUAUGCAACAUGAAGUUACCAAAUGAAGAAAAAUCAGAUAUAAAAACUUACCAAAACGCUCAGAUCUGUUAUGAAAGGGAGACAUGUGAGAAGACUCCGUCAGAAGACUCUCAGGUAAGUCGUCCUGGAAGUCUUCUAGCGCAUUAUAUUUUAGACGAUUAACAGGUAAGUCGUCCCAGAAGUCUUCCAGAUCUGAAAAUCCUGCAUAUCCAAAUCCAGAUCUGAAAAACCUGCACAUACAAAAACGUUCAAAUGGCUUAAAAACAGAGAAUAUUAGUGGAAGAUUAGAUAGAUCUACAUUUAUAGAACACACAAAAAUACAUAUCUAAAAUUAAUAGAUCUACCUUUAAAUGAGUGGAAAAUGAGAACCAUGUGCAAAACAAGAUAAACUAAUGAGAAAGACAUGAGACAAAAACAAUAAAUUGAUAUAAAGUUUGGUGUUUAUAAGUUCAAAGAGAUUACAGAAAGGUUGGAGAGUUUUAGAAUGAGGAACAUGCCGUUUUUGUUGCAGCCAUUUGAGAGGAGAAAAGAGAAUGUGUAAAUUUUUCUUUAUAUAUGGAGACAAAAAUUCCAAUAAGGUUAAAUAUUUUCAAUUCAGAAAACUUUCAAGUAAGUUUUCUAAUAGAAGACUUACUAGAUGACUUACUUGUAAGUCAUCCAGAAGACUUCAAUAUUUUUAGUGGGAAACUAAAAUAUUUUUAGCGGGAAACUAAAAUAUUUUUAGUGGGAGUUAGAAGACUUUCAAGUAAGUUUUCUAAUAGAAGACUUACUUGUAAGUCGCCCAGAAGACUUCAAUAUUUUUAGUUGGAAACUAAAAUAUUUUUAGCGGGAGUUAGAAAACCUUCAGAGAAGUCUUCUAAUCGCUAGACGACUUACCUGUUAGUCGUCUAGACCCUAAACAUAACUCCUGAACUAAAUUAACAAACUAAACACUUCAUAAAAUCAAAUUAAACUUAAAAAGUGUUUACUAUACAAUAAACACAUAUAUGAUUUUUCAAAAAAACAUUUAAGCUUUCCAAAAUCUAACCCUAAGAAUACAUACAAUACUAAAACAUAUGUUGUCAAACCCUAAGACAAAGAAUAUCAUGAUUAACUACUUUCACUCAUCUGUGUUGAAAACUAUUCAAUUUUAUUAUAUUUUAAUUUAUAUUACUUAUAACUAUUUGUAAUUACAUGAUUUUAAAUUUUCACUUGUCAAAAUAUUUUUAAAAAUUUUUAAAAUUAUUUUUAAGAUCAACUACACCAGAAGACUUCCCUGGAAGUCGUCUAGACGACUUACAGUAUCUCAGAAGACUCAGACGACUUUCCAGGGGUAUAUUCGUAAAAAUGAGUUUUUUUUUUUGUCACAAGGGGCUGACUGUAAUUUCACAAGGUUUUUAGGUUAGUUUUGCAUUUGAUUCAAGUUUGGGUAUAGUUUUUGUAUUUAAAAUCAAGUUUUGAGUCAUAUUUGGCAAAUCUCCAUAUAUAUAUAUAUAUAUAUAUAUUAAUAUCAUUUAAAUUACAUUAUAUACUAUAUAAAAAUAUAAAAAUAUGUUAAUUUCAAAAUUUGCAGUGAAAAAUUAUUGAGAUCAUAAUAUUCUAAUUUUGAAAUUUGUAUCGAAAAAUCACACGUUAAAAUUUUUGUGAUUAACAGUUUAAAUUUUUGUUACAGAAAAUAUACAAAUGUUAAUAAAAUCGUAUGAGUAGAAAGUACAAUAAAAAUAUUUAUAUUAAAAUAUACUAUAUUUAAUUAUAUACCAUAGAAAGUAAAUAAAGUUUUUGUUUUGAUUUAUUUACAAAAAAAACAUGAUUUUAAAUAAUCACAAGGUAUUGGUUUUGAUUUAUGUGAAUACUCUAAUGUAUAUAUUUUUAUGUAUACAAAUUAUUUUUUAAAAUAGGUUAUUUCUAAUAUGUUAUUUGAUCUUGACAAUUCCAAAAAUACAUUUUUUCAAAUCGAAGUGAAUUUUGAUAGGGGAAAUUACUUGUUUACCAAUUUCAUGCUACCACUUUUCAUUUUUACCACCACUAAAUGGACAUUUUCAAAAAUACAUUCUUCAUUAAACGGCAAAAGACUCUUAUGCCCUUGUUCUUAAUAUAUAUGAUAAAUAAAUAUUUAAAUAAUUUUUUUAAUUUUUUUUCUAAUUAUACUAUUUCGAAAUUUAAACCCUAAACCCUAAAACUCAACUCUAAAUCCUAAACCAUCAACCAUAAACCCUAUUUUUUUUUGAAAUACGAACCCUAAACCCUGAAACAUCAAAUCUAAACCCUAAACCUUCAACUAUAAACCCUAAACCUUCAAUUCUAAACCCUAAAACAUCAACUCUAAACACUAAACCCUAAACUUCAACUUUAGACCCUAAACCAUCAACACUAAACCCUAAACUAUCAACACUAAACCCUAAAAAGUAAACUCUAAAACCUAAACCCUAAAAAAUUAACCUUAAACCCUAAAACAUCAUCUCUAAACCCUAAACCCUAAACCUUCAACUCUAAACCCUAAAAUCUAAACCCUAAAUCCUAAACCCUAAACCCUAAAACCCUAGAGUUGAUGUUUUAGGGUUUAUAUUUGAAGGUUUAGGGUUUUAGCGUUUAGGGUUUACGUUUAGGGUUUAGAGUUGAUGUUUUAGGGUCUAGAUUUGAAGGUUUAGGAUUCGAAUUUUAGAAAAAUAUAAGGUUUAGGGUUUACGUUUAGGGUUUAGAGUUGAUGUUUUAGGGUUUAAAUUUGAAGGUUUAGGGUUUACGUUUAGGGUUUAGAGUUGAUGUUUUAGGGUUUAAAUUUGAAGGUUUAGGGUUUACGUUUAGGGUUUAGAGUUGAUGUUUUAGGGUUUAAAUUUGAAGGUUUAGGGUUUACGUUUAGGGUUUAGAGUUGAUGUUUUAGGGUUUAAAUUUGAUGGUUUAGGGUUUAGGGUUUAGGGUUUAGGGGUUAGAGUUGAUGUUUCGGGGUUUAGGGUUUAGAGUUGAUGUUUCAUGGUUUAGGGUUUAAAUUUGAUGGUUUAGGGUUUAGAGUUGAUGUUUCGAGGUUUAGGGUUUAGAGUUUGAUGUUUCAUGGUUUAGGGUUUAAAAGUUAAUGUUUUAAGUUUAGAUUUAGGGGUUAGGGUUUAUGUUUAGGUUUAGAGUUGAUGUUUCGGAGUUUAGGGUUUAUAGUUGAUGUUUCAUGGUUUAGGGUUUAGAGUUGAUGAUUUAGAGUUUUGAGUUAUGUUUUAAGUUUUGACUAGAUCUCGACCCGCACAACCGUGCAGAUUUUUGUUUUCAUUUAUUUUUAUAUAAAUAUUUUGUUUUCAAUUCUAAAUUGGUAUAUAUUAUAAUAUAUAUUCGUCUAUCAAUUUUUAAAACAUAAUAAGUUUACGGUAUAUUUUU